ACCCGGGACGAGCAUCCCCCACAGUGAGCGGAGCGGCGCGGAUCCGCCGGCAUUUAUGGGCGGGGCCGCACAGGUGUGAGGGGCGGGGCCGCACAGGUGCGCGGGGCCCCAGCGCGGCUGCGCGGGGCGGGGCCGAGCGGAUUUAAACCCCGGGAAUGGGCUGUGGAGCCAUUUGCCCGUCGGCGCUCGGAGCGGGAGGCUGCUCCGGCCCGAGCUCCAUACUUUUCUCAUUUCUUCCCUUCUAGGAGAUACACAGGGCAGGGCUGCACUGCACCCCCAAUCUGAGAACUGGGAGAAAAGACAAAUCCAGACUGACAUUCCUGGGAGAUUGGUGCAGCUUCUGCCAGCCAGAACAAUCCUUUCAUCUAUGGCUCUCCUCUCGCAGUGGAGGACGAAGACUAGAAGCAAUUUGAGAAAUGGGCUAUAAUUCAUCCUGUGCACACAGUAAGGGAGAGAAUGAGGAAAAACAGAAUAACAAAAAACCCAAAACCCCACCCAAUCAAGAAGCUUUUUCCAAAACAAAGUGGGGACUUGAUGUCAACAAAAAAUUUUGUGGAUUCCAGUCUGCUCAUGCAAAAAAAAAAAAAAAAAAAACAACCAACAAAACCACAUGGGGAAACCAAAGGAAAGAGUCAGAGAAGAGACAAUCUCUUCCUCUGUUUUUGAUCAGUCCGUUUAGUUUUCACUUAAGUUCAUGUAAGAUGUCCUUCACCUGAAAGGUCUCUGAUUUGAAAUACAAAAUCACUUCUUGGGCUGUGUUAAAUCCCAGGCUGCUCUCUCACCCUUGCUGUCUUUGCUGCUGCUGGGCACCCACCUCCAGACUGCAGGAACCCCCUGAACCCAGGAGAGGUCCUCAGAGCCUGCUGCCAGAUCCUGCAAAAGCUGCAGUGUCACAGCUUCCACUGAGAGAAGAGAGGUCUGCUUCACCAUUACUCAUCAAAAGAAUCCAGUCUCAUAUGCAUGGAUAUGCAGAAAGUCCUGGCUCCUGCAGAAUCACAGCCUGUUUUAGGUGGCCUUCAGCCCUGAUUCACAAUGACAGCUGGACAGCAGAGGUGUGAAAAUACAGGCAGCUACACCAACACUUACAGGCUCCUGUGCUGGGGAGUCACUCAGCUCAUUCUUCCAAAAAAUAUUUUGAAUGGCUCUGGAAUUACUUCUCCCAGCAGUGGGACAAACUGAUGUGGAGCAGAUCAGAGUGACAGCAUUAAAGCAAGUGCACAAAAUUCUGUUCACAGCUUACUUGGAGAAGGGGAGUACAGGACACAGAAUGAAUCCUCAUUCUGACGUUUAAACAUUUUUUCUUUCAAAUGAACCAUCAGAAAUAAAACCUCAUGAAAUAUAAAGUAUUAAAAAACCCUAUUUCCUGCUUCCCUUAUAUGCAGUAUCCCUAUAGGAUUUUAAGAGGCAAGCUUAACUUACAUGGUUCACAGUUGGUGCUGCUGUUUUUGGGAAAAGCCAGAUGUGGAACGGUGGGGAGAAGGAAUUAAGAGAGGAAGAGCUGCAACAAAACACAGCUGGUGACCAAUGCCAAGUCUCCCUCAGAAACUUGCCACAAAAGCAUUUACACAUACAUGUUUUUGUAUUUUUCCAUCUAGGAGUGGUUUGCAGCAAUGCAUAAAACCAGGACACAAUUACUGCAGUCUAGCUGAUGUCACAAAUGGUUACACAUGAGGAACCAUGAGAGGAGACAGAACUUCACCUCCUUACCCUCCCCUGCCCUAAUUUAAGCAUCUGCAUCCAUCCUCAGAUGUCUGAAUAUGUAACCCAGACACUGGAGGAGCAACUUUCUGAAAGUUUGGAUGCUCUUUAUAUACCACAACUCCAAAAAGUUGAUCUUAAUUAUUUGUAAUAAAUUUAAGUGUACUCUCAAAUGAAGAAUGAAAGCCAAAAACUGCUACCUAUAAUUAUGGAAAACCAAAGCAUGUCCUGAGCUCUAAACUUUUUUGGUACAUUACCAAAUCAUCUCUAUAGGGUGGGAAAGGAGGUAGGAAAGCAAAUCUUUUAUUGCAAAGCUGUACCAUUAGGCAGAACAAAUGGUCAUCUUGGAAUUCUCUUAAAAAAGAAAGGUAUUUUUUGAUGAACAAAUUUAAUCAAUAAUUCUAAAAAGCCACAUGAACAGGUUAUCAGAAGUGGGAAUUAGAUAUGAGGCAAGUAGAAAUUAAAUCCCAAAUACAGCUACACUGUUAACUGUAUUUAACACAGUAUCUCAGUUCAGUAGUUUAUUUUCUACCCCAACUUUAGUGUUUAGAUUUCUAAAUCACUACAGCAAUUUAAUAAGAAAGCAAGUCUGACUACCUGAAAUUAAAACUAAAAGCUAAUUUUACCAUACCACUGUAUAGACAAAAAACAGAUGACAGUGUUUAGAAAGUUGGAUACUGAUGACCACACAUAGAAAUUGAAUUAAAAACUGAGAUUAUAUCAAUUGUUUUUAUUAGAUAUCAGCAGUUUACAAAUUUGAAUUAAGAAAAUUACAGAACAGAAUUAACUUGAAUUAAUUCUUGGUUGUAAAGUUUUUUCUUUAAGGUCAUAAUAAUUUUUAUGCAGGAUGUCAUCAGCAAUAAAUUCUAGACUGUCUAAAACACAGCCCCACUAUUUCCUUUUUCAGUAAUUGAUAGUUUAUCAAAAAUCUAAGAUUGUGCUAAACAUUUUAACAAGUAUUUAAUUAACUACUCUAUUAGGCCCUUAGUAUAUUUCAAGUUUUUUUUUUUCAAUUUUUACACAAUACAGAAUUUUUAAAAGCACUUAAGGAUUCCAUAUUGCAAUUUUUUUUUUUUUUUGGUAACUUUCAAAACUAGGAAUAAAUAGACAGUCCCCACAACAAGGUGAAA